UGUGGGAGCUGGCUUGCCUGCGAUGCAGACGCCUCGGUCAUUCAGUUGAACUGAGGUGAUGCCAUCGCAGGCAAGCCAGCUCCCACA
rnacentral:misc_RNA from 1 species